UACAGAGGUGGCAAGCGUUGUUCGGAAUUACUGGGCGUAAAGGGCGCGUAGGCGGUCUUGUAAGUCUUGUGUGAAAUCCCUCGGCUUAACUGAGGAACUGCACGGGAUACUGCGAGACUUGAGAUCGGGAGAGGGAAGCGGAAUUCCGGGUGGUAGCGGUGAAAUGCGUAGAUAUCCGGAGGAACACCGGUGGCGAAGGCGGCUUCCUGGACCGACACUGACGCUGAGGCGCGAAAGCUAGGGGAGCAAACGGG
rnacentral:rRNA from 1 species